UACAGAGGGGGCAAGCGUUAUUCGGAAUUAUUGGGCGUAAAGGGCGCGUAGGCGGCCUGGCAAGUGGAAGGUGAAAUCCCUCGGCUUAACCGAGGAACUGCCCUCCAAACUGCUUGGCUUGAGUCCGGGGGAGGUGAGUGGAAUUCCCAGUGUAGCGGUGAAAUGCGUAGAUAUUGGGAGGAACACCAGUGGCGAAGGCGGCUCACUGGACCGGAACUGACGCUGAGGCGCGAAAAGCGUGGGGAGCAAACGGGG
rnacentral:rRNA from 1 species